UGCGGGGGGGGCAAGCGUUGUUCGGAAUUACUGGGCGUAAAGGGCUCGUAGGUGGCCAACUAAGUCAGACGUGAAAUCCCUCGGCUUAACCGGGGAACUGCGUCUGAUACUGGAUGGCUUGAGUUCGGGAGAGGGAUGCGGAAUUCCAGGUGUAGCGGUGAAAUGCGUAGAUAUCUGGAGGAACACCGGCGGCGAAGGCGGCAUCCUGGACCGACACUGACACUGAGGAGCGAAAGCCAGGGGAGCAAACGGG
rnacentral:rRNA from 1 species